rnacentral:lncRNA from 13 species
GCGAGAGGAAACUUGUGGUAGAGCGUGGGGAAGAGAAUGACAAUAACCCAGGUUAAGACAAGCUCAGUGUCAUCGGGAACAUCAUGCGCAUCGUCUUGUUCGUGUCUCUCACUUUGGUUGUCAUGGGGUUGUGUGGGCGUUGGGUUAUGAAAGAGAAAGGAAAAUGCUGUCCUGUGUGGAUCCCACCACCAGAGGGCAGUAUAAUGCAGUGUUCCAAUGAAGAAUCCCCACAGGCUGGCCCGUCUAACAUGGAGAUGACCACGAUGGCUGCAGCUGCAAUGGAUGACUCCCCAGAAGACUCCUCUGAAGAAGAUUAUGAUGACUGUGUGUGAUGCUGAUCUGAGAAAUACUAUACAAUAAUACAAAAGUCUAUAUUAAGUCAUGUGCUUUUAUUCAUUUUAAAUACAUUUAUCUAGAUAGAUUGCCAGUUAAAAUCAUAUUGUUAAAGUGUUGCAGCAGAGUUUUUGAAAGUAUUGCUCACGAGCCAAAACAGGUUCACAGGAAAUGUACACGAUUGUGUACAACGCCAACCAUUUCGUAUGAUAUGUUACAUCCCGGAAAAUGUUUUUUUAAUAAAAUCCUGCAAUUCAUAUAUAUUAUGAAUUUGUAAGUGCUUAAGAUCCCGUUCAAUCGCUUUAAUUAAUAACAAGGCAACAGUAAAGAUGUCAUCCCUUGCGAAUGAUGCAGCACCUCCCCUUUCGCCAAUUAGUGACAACAUUUCAUGCUCAAAUGGGACAGGAGAUAUGCUUGUUCAAAGUUUGGAAUUACUAAUGUACGAACGGACGGAGACAGAGCCAUAGUCUCCCCUCCGAUUUCUUUGUUAGGGAGAAUAAAGUGCCAAUUACAUGCCAGCGAAGAGCAAGACCAAUGUGUGUUAAAUCUACUCCCUUUUCACUUUUAGUAUUUGUCCAAAUUUGAACCUACCAGGUAAGACAGAACCUACUAUGGAUGAAGCUAACUAGGGAAGACAGAGAGAAUAAGCAAAUAGCCUAAUACACAAACUCUGAACCUCUAUCUAUUGAAGGGGAAAUCUGGGAAUGGUACAUCAAUUUGGGAAUUUGACCAGGGUGAUCGCUUUGUUGUUGUUUGAAUCGCCGAUUGCCCCUUUAAUUCUGUGCUCAUUUUCAAACAUUAAUCGGUAGCUAU